ACACGUAGUUAAUCUGCCCUUAGGUCAAGAAUAUCCUCGGGAAACUGAGGUUAAAUCUUGAUAGGAGUUUAGUGCUGGAAUGCUUUUACUCACAAAGGUUUCGCCUAAGGAUGAGACUGCGGCUGAUUAGCUAGUUGGUGGGGUAACUGCCUACCAAGGCGAUGAUCAGUACGGGCUCUUAGCGGAGUUGCCCGGAGAGGGAAUCUGAGACACUAUUCCCAGCCCUACGGGGUGCAGCAGCAGCGAAUCAUUUGCAAUGCACGAAAGUGUGACAAUGCGAACCAAAGUGCCUAUUCAUUUGAAUAUGCUUUUCUUUGCUCUAAAAAUGCAGAGGAAUAAGGACUGGGCAAGACUGGUGCCAGCCGCCGCGGUAAUCCCAGCAGUUCAAGUCGCAUCCACUAUUAUUGGGUCUAAAACAUCCGUAGCUUGCAGUUUAAGUCUCUUGUGAAAUCCCACUUCUCAAGUGUGGGGCUUGCAGGAGAUACUGGAUUGCUAGAGAUCGGUAGACGUAAGAAGUACACUGGAGGUAGUGGUAAAAUACGUUAAUCUUCGGUGGACUAACAAUCAGCGAAGGCAUCUUACGAGGACGAAUCUGACAGUGAGGGAUGAAGGCCAGGGGCGCAAAACGGAUUAGAUACCCGUGUAGUCCUGGCAGUAAACACUGCUCACUAAACAUCGGG
rnacentral:rRNA from 1 species